rnacentral:rRNA from 1 species
UACAGAGGGUGCAAGCGUUAAUCGGAAUUACUGGGCGUAAAGCGUGCGCAGGCGGUUCGUUAAGUUCGUUGUGAAAGCCCCGGGCUCAACCUGGGAACUGCAAUGGAAACUGGCGGGCUUGAAUGCGGCAGAGGGGGGUGGAAUUCCGGCGUGUAGCAGUGAAAUGCGUAGAGAUGCGGAGGAACACCGAUGGCGAAGGCGACCAUCUGGACGGAUACUGACGCUGAGACGCGAAAGCGUGGGUAGCAAACAGG